rnacentral:rRNA from 1 species
UACGAAGGGGGCUAGCGUUGUUCGGAAUUACUGGGCGUAAAGCGCGCGUAGGCGGCUUUGCAAGUCGAUUGUGAAAUCCCCAGGCUUAACCUGGGAACUGCAUUCGAGACUGCAUAGCUAGAGUAUGGGAGAGGGAAGUGGAAUUUCAGGUGUAGCGGUGAAAUGCGUAGAUAUCUGAAGGAACAUCAGUGGCGAAAGCGACUUCCUGGACCAAUACUGACGCUCAUGUGCGAAAGCGUGGGGAGCAAACAGG